CACCGAUGAAGAAGAAUUCCCAAGUAUAGGAAGUGCCGUAUGACACUUUUAAAACGCAGCAUUUCG
rfam:Erythranthe guttata cultivar DTN x IM62 scaffold_83_contig_15, whole genome shotgun sequence.